GUGACUAACACAAGGAAGUUGGGGGCAAUACCAGGUCUGUGAUGCCCUUAGAUGUUCUGGGCUGCACGCGCGCUACACUGAUGCGCUCAACGAGUUUAUGACCUUGCCCGGCAGGGUUGGGUAAUCUUCUUAAAACGCAUCGUGAUGGGGAUAGAUUAUUGCAAUUAUUAAUCUUCAACGAGGAAUGCCUAGUAAGCGUGAGUCAUCAGCUCGCGUUGAUUACGUCCCUGCCCUUUGUACACACCGCCCGUCGCUACUACCGAUUGAAUGGCUCAGUGAGGCCUUCGGACUGGCU
rnacentral:rRNA from 1 species